rnacentral:lncRNA from 1 species
CUAGUCUCUGUCUCAGAUGGACCGAAACUGAAAUCCGAUACUUUGACAGCAUAAUCCUCUGUGAGCUGAAGAGAUGACGAGACGAGAUUGGUGUGAGCUAUAGGUGGAUUGAGUUGGUGCAUAUGGUCAAGGCAAUAUGCUAAUCCCAUUGCAAUUCUUAACCGCAUUCCCCAAUCCAAGUGUUCUGAUUCUUUAACUGUAAUAAAAAAAAUAUGUUUUGAUUCCCUUUAGAUCACAAAGAAAACAAGCCAACAUGUGACAUUGUGUAGCUAGCUUAUGACAAAAGUACUCACAGUGUAAAUGCUCAAAGAGUGAUCCAUUUGGAGCAUACUCAAAGAUCAAGAUCCUAGCGAAAGGUUCCUUUUCUUCACAAUACCCAAGAAGGUUUGCAAAAUUCUUGUGGUUGAUCUUCGAUAACAUUUCGAUCUGAAAUUGUGAAACAGAACACGCUAAAGUCGACUAUAUAUUGUUAUUAUAAGAAAUCAAAAAUGGGAAGAACCAUACCUUCUUCCUAAAGUGAAUUUCUGUAUUGUCCUUCCAGUCUUUGGCAGAGGUAGUAGCAAAAGAAGCAACAGCAAUCUCCACUCCACUUGAUAAUGUUCCUUUGAACAAUUUCCCAAUGGGGCAAGAUCCAAUGACAUUACUAAAAUCUUCACAUGCAGCUUCAAUCUCAGAUCUUUUAAGUACAGGUAUACCUGAGCAUCAAAAAAUCACACAUUGAUGAAACCAAAGUAAGUGCACUAGCCAAAACAUUCUAUGUUAUGUAACAAUUUAAGAAAGGAAAUUACCAGUAACGAAUACUUUCUGAGUUGUCCACUAAGACCAGUACGCCAAGGAUUCACAGUUUUCCCGGCCUUACUAGUGAAAAAGUAGAGACCGGUAGCUACAAGGAGAAGAAAAAAGGCACCGCCUACGCAGCCAACUACUAAAGGAACAGCCACUGAAGAAGAAUGAGCGUUUCUUGGAGUGGAAGGAUUUACAAGUGACACAGAAGGUGAAGGUGAAACAUCUUGUGUAGAUGAUCUCUUUUGUGGCUCUGGAACUGUUGAAGAUUUAGUUGAAACAUGUUUAGGAGAAGGUUGUGGUGACGAUGAUGGUGUUAUAGUUGCAGCCACAACACGGUUUUUGCGGUCUUUUCUCGAAGGUAAAUCUUUGUAAGGGUAACGGACAAGUGUUUUCCUGUGAAAUCCAAAAGCUUUCCUAUCAAAAGGUAGAAAACGAAAUUGAAGCCAUUGCCAAAACAUGCUCUAAAAUAAAGAUCAAAAUAUAGUAAGUUACAGUAUAUAGUUUAUAAGCAUGAUUAAGUGUCGGUUACAAAUUGUGAAAUAAAUUUGUAGAUCUCUACCAACCCCGUUGGCCGUUGGGACUUUGAUGCUAUAGAUGAGUUCUAUAAAGGUGAUAUGCCAGAUUGGCCAUCGAAUGAUGAUAAGUUACAGUUCUAUGAGGUGAGGUGUUACUUUGACUCAUCUUCUUUGAUGAUAAGUUUCAAUUUCUUUUGAUUCAUCUUCUAUGAGCUCGAGGUGAUCUGUUUUGACUUGUCUUUCUUCAACUAACUUUAGAUGUUUAAAAAUGUAUAGGUGAAUGAAUCAGAGUUGCGAGACAAUGAAUGGCUUCAUCUAUAUGCUGAAGUUGCAUUGUUCUCCGAGUGGGAAUCUGACAUGGUGAGGAUAUUAAAAGCAUAUAGAUAUGUGAGCUUAGGACAUUCUUUUCUCAAGUCGAGCAAUGCAAUCUUCUACAUGAGUUUCAAGGUUCGUGAAGGUCCCGAUUGCAGAGGUAUAAUAAGAAAAACAAGUGAUGGAAGAACAGGACAUAUGCGCCUUGAAGCUAGAUGUUGGAUCGACAAGUAAAUACGAUGGUGGCUAGUAUUUCGAUAUUUUGUGGAUUAUCUUGCAAUGUUUAAGUAAUUUACGGCAUGAUUCAUUUAUUUAUGCAUGGUAAUAAUAUAGUUACUUAACUUGAAGAGGACAAGAAACUUGGAUUUUACUAGAUAACUACAAAAGACACGUAUAAAACUCAGCUUUUGUUGGUGAAUGGCUCUCUUCUUACGCCGUAGACAAGACCUCCAAUUCUGGCCACCAAAGAGGUGAGAACUUAGACGUUGCAUCGUUAGCCGUGAUUUCCCAUAACCAACCGUGACUUCUUGCAUUCUCGAUCUUCUUAUUAUAAGAUUCUAGUGUUGGCCAGAGUGUCUCUCCUAUUAAAAAAUCAACCAGGCCCCUAUCUACCGAGUCGAGUUUGUUAACCGAUUCCGGGAGUUUCCCGGUUAUCAUUUCAAAUAAUAAUAAACCAUUUUUGUCAAUUAGGCCUGUGAGCUUUUCUUUUAAAAAAAAAAAAUAGUGAUUUUGAAUUUGGAUUUAAAUAUUGACUCAUAAAUCUUAAUUGAACCGGGUUGUGACAUGCUUAACCCGGACUCGGUUAUAUGGGCGAUUCCCGUUUGAACCGGUCGGUGUUAAAUCACUAUUCAUUUGUCUUAACCAUCAUUGAUUGAUUUGGGGUUAAAAAGGAAAUUGGGGUCUAUUUACAUUAAACCUAAAAAAAAAUCAAUUGGGAAUAGACAAACCCUUGUCGGCUUGUCGUGUCCGUCCAGCAAAACUUAUCAGACUCUCCCAAUCAGUUUGGAAGUAGAAGACGACUGUUCACCGGAAAGAUGUAUGAUGUGAUGUUGGAUGAAGCGAACUUGUGGUUUCACGAAUACGAACCUCCUCUCCGUAGGCGGAAGAUCGAAGAAGCUCCACCUUCACCUGUGGAAGACCUUUAUUUCUCCGACGAAGAAGACAUGAGUCCCGAGGAACGCGAAAAGUAUCGUCUUCAAGUUGUUGAGUCCUGUGUAAUUCUCUUUUAACUCUUUUCAAGUUUUGACGCUUACAAGAUUUGUGCUUUCGUAUCAUACAAUUGAUUUUUGGAUUUUGGUAAUUAGGGAUUCGAUGUUGAUUUCUUCAAGCAUACGUUUAAUGGGAUAAUGCCAAGUGGAUGUUGUCCCUAUGACACACUCUUCGCAAAGGCAGGACUCCAUUGUUACAAUCUUGAAAAGGUUUACUCUUUUCUUUUCUCUUUGAUAUUACUCUCUCCUCCUUGUGAGCUACUAUUGUAGAAUGUUGAUAUUCGUCACUGGUCAUUGUUUCUACCUUGUAGGGGAAGAACUUACAGUUCAAGACUGUAGUAAAAGUUAACGCCGAAAUCGGUUCCCUUUACAAUUCCUAUUCAACAUCUGAGGUGAUGGAUCCGGUUAACAACUCUCUUCACACUUUCCAAACUUUAGUCACGGAUGCAGGGAAGAUGAACAAAGCGCGCUUGAUACUUGUCACAAAAAUAUGCAGACUUAAGCCUCAAGUACCAGGUGUGGAAAGACUUUCAUGACUUGGUUUGUAAUUUGUCAUUAACGUUGCCAUGAAGAUUAUCAUACGCUUGUAAAACAUGGUUAAUCAUUUGGACAUGUUUUAGGCAUUGGAGAUGCAAAUGGCCGUUGGGACUUUGAUGCUAUAGAUGAUUUCUAUAAAGGUGAUAUGCCAGAUUGGCCACCGAAUGGUGCAUGUACUAAAGGUGAUAAGCUACUACAGUUCUAUGAGGUGAGGUGUUAGUUUUUUACUCAUUUAAUACAUAAUGUAAUCCAUCUUUAGUGUUUUUGCUUGUAUACAAGAUUAUCUUUUUUUCCAACUAAUUUUAGAUGUUUAAAACUGCAGGUGAAGGAAUCAGAGUUGCGAGACAAUGAAUGGAUUUCUCUAUAUGCUGAAGCUGCAUUGUUCUCCGAGUGGCACUCUGACAUGGUGAGGAUAUAAUAGCAUAUAGAUAUGUGAACAUAGGACAUCCAUUUCUCAAAAAACCUUUUUUUAAUUUGCAGAGUGCUUAUACACCAUUUGAGAUGAAGAAAGUAGUGGUACAAACAAAAGAAGAUGUAGACUCGAGUAUGAAGCUCAAGUCGAGCAAUGCAAUCUUCUACAUGACUUUCAAGGUUCGUGAAGGUCCCGAUUGCAGAGGGAUAGUAAGAAAAACAAGUGAUGGAAGAACAGGACAUAUGCGCCUUGAAGCUAGAUGUUGGAUCGACAAGUAAAGCUGAUAAUGACCAGUAAUCUGAUUUUGUGUGGUCUUUUUUUUAUGUAUUGAUCUUGCUAUGUUUAAAUGGUAUCUAUCUAUGGCAGAAGUAGCAAAGUUCGCACUACUUGUUUCCCUCUGGAUUUUUUUUUAUAAUUAAAAUGCUCUAUUUAAGAUGUGCGCUUUUAUCAACUAUCUUAUAUCUUGUUUCAAGGAAAUUACUUUGAUGUGCAAACACUUGAUGCGAUGAGAUAAACUAAAAGUGUUUUGCAAACGAUGCAGACAGUUGUUAGUAGCAAAAGACAAAAUCAAACUCUUGUUUUCACUUCACAAACACAGACUCAGUUGAGUUUACUAGCUCCAUGCCUUUUCUUCCGCCUCUCUUCCUCUUCCCGUGAGAGUAAUCUCGGAUAGCUGAAUCUUCUGAGCAAUGGACUUGGUUCAGCAAAGUAGGUAUUCGCCUUAGUGUUAAUCUCUUCACCCGGAGUGGGUACAUAAACAAGCAUAAUAUCUAUUGAGAUCUUCAUGUAACCGUUUUUUCCAAACUUAUCGCCAUGACUUGAUCUCGCCACUACGUAUUUUUCCCCAUUCUCCUCAUCUGCUGCUACUAGUGAAACGGCAUGCAGUCCAACGAGCCUUGACCUUUGAAGUACAGGCCCUCGAUAGAUCUUCAAACAAAAAACCAAACCAAUAUUAGCUUGCAUGAUAAAUUUAACACUGCAAAACAACGCAUAACUUACAUUUUCUCCAAUUUCAUUGUACUCUGGGAAAAACAUUGCCACAGCAGCUCCGAUGGGUUGGUGCUUAAGUUGGAGAAGCGCUUCCUCGAUUGUAUCUAUUCUCUUGAAGUCUUUGAUGUACCCUAAUCCCGAUAAGACACGAUCAGGAAUAUAUUGAGGACAUCCCGUGAAUGGUCUAUCUUCUUCUCUUUGAAUCCCAUUUUCCAUUACGUAACGCAUUCCUCUGUUGAUGCUUGAGGUGUAGCAGUAGUGACCGUCAUUGCGAACUUGUCUUCGCUGCACCGGAUCUGUAAAAUCAAUCAAAUCUUGCACAGAGUACUCUAUGUUAGGAUCUGUGUCACGACCGUUAAUCAAUCUCACUGCCCUUAUAAGAUCUCUUGCAACGACAGCCCAGCAAAUAUCUGAAAACAUACGAAAACAAACUUCGUUAACUAAAUUUUUUGUUAAGAAAAAUGUUAUAUGUUUUGUUCUUACCGUGAUCUAGUUGGUUUGCCACUAUCCCCAUAAUGAUUGCCCAAUCCACAUCAUCUAAGCAAACGGGAAAGAUCUGUACCUCAAAACAAAUAAGAAUUAUAAACAUAAAUUCAUCUAAAUUUCAUUACUAUUAACAAACGUACGAUAAAAUCUUAUACCCUGCGUUUGAUAUACGAUGCAAAUCUCACAUGCUUGAUAUCUCCACUUGAAUCGUCAAUGUAUUCGGUGACUUUAACUUUGGAAUCAGGUUUAGUUCUCAUUAUGCUUAAUAAAAUAUCAUGCGGAACGAUACGAAAGACCUCAGCCACUAAUGGUUGAAGUUGUGGGUCAGUCAAUGCUAAAAUCUGCUCAAAUAUGGGUAACAUUUCGUCAGGAACAGCAGCAAGCACCUGAAAAACAUCACAUUCGAAAUCCAAGAUUAAGAAUAAAACCGUGAAAGAUUAAGUGAGAUUUUAUACAGACAAUCAAGACCAGAAACAAAGACCAAACAUAUCUAACUAACUAUGUCUCUUCCAUUACCAAAGUAAACUUAACUACACCACAAAAAUCAACUUUUAUUAUCAUAUACUUACUACAUCACAUUCGAAAUCCAAGAUUUAGAAUGAACCCGUGAAAGAUUAAGUGAGAUUUUAUACAGACAAUUAAGAGCAGAAGCAAAGACCAAACAUAUCUAACUAUGUCUCUUUCAUCACCAAAGUAAACUUAAUUACACAACAAAAAUCAACUUUUUAUUAUCAUAUACUUACUUCUGCAGGUGUAGUGUCUGAGCUCUCACCUCUUUGUGCCAUAUUUGAAGUUAGGAUCUGCAUUUUAAAUUUUAGCAAAAACUUAGCAGACAAGUUUCAAAAAGACAAACAGAGUAAACCAACAGUUUCCAUUUAAGAAGUAAUACAAAAAAAAAACUAAGGACUACUUGUAGACAUAUAUAGAACAACAUAACAGAAAUGAACAAGGUAAGUUUCUUACUAGCCAGAAAGGCAGAAACCACUAGAAUCUUGUAACUUAAUUUCUCUGUUCUCCAAAACUCUCUUCCUUUUAAACGUCAAAAGUGAGAUAAAAUGUUUCUGUGUUCUAACUCUAGAGGGAAACUUGUCACUAUAAAGAUUGCAGAGUUACAUAAUGUCUUUACGCUAUAAAUUUUUCCUUCUAGUUAUCUGCACCCAUUGAACACAACAUUGACCAUUAACACUAAUAUGGGGAGAUAUACAAUAUCUACUCAUCUUACUUCUGAAUCCACUCCUUACUAAAUAUAGAAAUUUCAGAAGCAACUUUAACUUUUUGACCCAUCACAGUUAAUUAUUUCGUUCGUAAAUGUUUUUACUCUCCUUAUUUUUAUUGGAUGUCAAUUUUUUUUUUCCUUUAGCCUUUCGCUCCACAAUCAACUGAUUCAAAAGGAAAAGAAAAAAAAAAAAAGUAUUUGCCAAGUUAUUCACGAAUAAAAUAUCUCUUCAAGCAUGAAUAAAAUAUUUUUGCACACUUAUAUUCUUAAAGUAUUUGGCAAUUUCUCCUCUAUCAUUUUGCUACAUAAUAACACUGAACAAAAGAAUGCAUUCAUAUAGAAGAAGAAGGAUAUAAUUUUUACAAGAUUGUUUCCGACAUGCACACUAAUUCAUCUAUACAUGUUUAUAGAGUUACUUAACUUGAGAGAACUUCAAUUUUGUUUUACCAAUAUUACUAGAGAUAACUAGAAAAGACACUUACAAAACUAACAUCUUCAAAAUAUAUACAGUUUUAUUGGUGAAGGGCCUCUCUUAAGCCGUGGACAAAACCUCCAACUCUGCCCACCAAAGAGGUGACAAUUUCGGCGUAGCAUCAUUCGGUGAUAUUCCCGUGAUCUCCCGUAACCAUCCUGUGACUUCCCGCAUUGUAGGUCUCUCUUUCGGGUCGGUCCUGAGGCAUGAUUUGAUCACUUCACCUAUAUUCUCAAUCUUGUCAUCAUAAGAUUCCAGUGUUGGAUCUACCAUCUUGGCUAGAGUCUCUCCUCUUAAGAAAUCAACCAGCGCGCUAUCUACCGAGUCAGGUUUGUUAACCGAUUCUGGGAGUUUCCCGCUUAUCAUUUCGAAUAAUAGUAAACCGAAGCUGUAAACGUUUUCUUCUGGAUUCAAGACUGAGAUGUUUGUGUCUAUGACUGUGUCGUUGAUGCUAGUCUCUGUCUCAGAUGGACCGAAACUGAAAUCCGAUACUUUGACAGCAUAAUCCUCUGUGAGCUGAAGAGAUGACGAGACGAGAUUGGUGUGAGCUAUAGGUGGAUUGAGUUGGUGCAUAUGGUCAAGGCAAUAUGCUAAUCCCAUUGCAAUUCUUAACCGCAUUCCCCAAUCCAAGUGUUCUGAUUCUUUAACUGUAAUAAAAAAAAUAUGUUUUGAUUCCCUUUAGAUCACAAAGAAAACAAGCCAACAUGUGACAUUGUGUAGCUAGCUUAUGACAAAAGUACUCACAGUGUAAAUGCUCAAAGAGUGAUCCAUUUGGAGCAUACUCAAAGAUCAAGAUCCUAGUGAAAGGUUCCUUUUCUUCACAAUACCCAAGAAGGUUUGCAAAAUUCUUGUGGUUGAUCUUCGAUAACAUUUCGAUCUGAAAUUGUGAAACAGAACACGCUAAAGUCGACUAUAUAUUGUUAUUAUAAGAAAUCAAAAAUGGGAAGAACCAUACCUUCUUCCUAAAGUGAAUUUCUGUAUUGUCCUUCCAGUCUUUGGCAGAGGUAGUAGCAAAAGAAGCAACAGCAAUCUCCACUCCACUUGAUAAUGUUCCUUUGAACAAUUUCCCAAUGGGGCAAGAUCCAAUGACAUUACUAAAAUCUUCACAUGCAGCUUCAAUCUCAGAUCUUUUAAGUACAGGUAUACCUGAGUAUCAAAAAAUCAAACAUUGAUGAAACCAAAACAUAUUAUGCCAUGUAACAAUUUAAGAAAGAAAAUUACCAGUUACGAAUACUUUCUGAAGUUGUCCGCUAAGACCAGUACGCCAAGGAUUCACAGUUUUCCCGGCCUUACUAGUGAAACAGUAGACACCGGUAACUACAAGAAGAAGAAAAAAGGCACCGCCUACGCAGCCAAUCACUAAAGGAACGGCCACUGAAGAAGAAUGAGCGUUUCUUGGAGUGGGAGGAUUUACAAGUGACACAGAAGGAGAAGGUGAAACAUUUUGUGUAGAUGAUCUCAUUUGUGGCUCCGGAACUGUUGAAGAUCUAGUUGAAACAUGUUUAGGAGAAGGUUUUGGGGAUGAUGAUGGUGUUACAGUUGCAGCCACAACGCGGUUUCUGCGGUCUUUUCUCGAAGGCAAAUCUUUGUUAGGGUAACGGACAAGUGUUUUCCUGUGAAAUCCAAAAGCUUUCCUAACAAAAGGUAGAAAAAUAAAUUAUAGCCAUUGCAAAAGCAUGCUCUAAAAUAAAGAUCAAAAUACGGUAAGUUAUAUAUAGUUUACAAGCAUGAAUAAGUGUCGGUUACAAGUAACAACAGUUUCUUCUACCAUACAUAGAUAGAGAAAAUGAAGCUACGGAAUGGUUAGAGAAAUUUGUAGAUCUACCAACCCCUGACUAUAUAUCUGUUCUAAUCCAAAGACCCACUGGAAAUCUCAGAAACUGAAGGUACUACUUACAAAUUCGUUGAAUCUUCAUCUGACGAUAGAUCUUUCUUUAAACUAUCUUCACUUUUCAGAAAAUCUACACCUGAAAACAGAGGAUAUGAAUCAGGGAACUUGGAUUCUGUUUCUACGCAACCAAAGAGACAAAAACGAGUAAGUGAAACGAUGAAACUCUCUCUACCUUUGUCUUUGAGCGAGAAACACGAACCCAAGUAGCUAAGAAGGAUCACAAAAGCCACGAAAGAACGCAUUUUGAACAUGGAUCGAGUGAAUCCAGAAGACAACAGUAGUAAGAGUUGAGCAGAAGAAGAUGAUGAAAUCGAAGUAGAAUUCGAGAUUAGAGAUGAGAAGCAGAGACAAUCAGAUAUUGAAGAAGCUCAAGACAAAAAGAGACUUCUGAGUUUUGAGCAAAGAAACCGCGUCCGCCGUGUUUUGCCCGAUAGACGAAACUAGACAGAAGACAGUAGACACGACUUAAUGAAUUUUUUUUUUUUUUUGGGUCAACAAGACGAACUAACAAGGUUGCUUAUUUAUGAACCAAUCAAAACGUUUUUUCUUUUGUAUUUUCAUGAAAAUUAAAUAUAUUUUUUUUUUUUGUUUUUUUUGCCCCAACGAUUACUGUCAAAUACCAACAUCGUACCAUGUUCGAACCAUACUUGACCUAUUCCAAACCACGAAAAUAAUUUUCUUUUCUUUACAAGUCUUUCAUUCAAAUUGAUCUUAUUUCAUUGUGAUUCAAAGUGGUGAGGAUUUUUGUGAAAUUAAAAAAUAAAUCAUCAAAACUUAGUAUUGAAUUAUACUAUAUGAAUAUUUUUUUAGAAUUCAGUUCAUCUUUUUAAGAUUUGAUUUGAGAAAUUAACUCAAGAAAAAGCUCAUGUUUAGACAAAUUAAUAAAAUAUUUCAACGUAUCAAUUAGUGGAAAUACAUAGAAAAAAAAUGGGCAUGUUCAAUCCUGAUUGUAUGUUAAGGUAUUUUAGAUGUUUUAUGGGCUCUAAAAUAAACAAAUUGUUUUCCUAUUUAUAAACGUUAGGUGAAAAAUAUGUGUAAUACGGGUUAAUAAUAACAUGUAGUGGCAGAACUAAAAGGGUUCAAAAGAAAAGGCUCAAUUAGCCAGCCACCGUCUAAAAAGACUUGUUGCGUAGGGAAUGGUUCUACCUUCUUGAUUUUCUUGGUUAUUUCUUACAAUUUGUAAUUGGUUAUAAUAAAAUUCAACGAACGUAUUGAAAACAAAACAAAACAAAGAUAGUAACAAAUAUAAGAGCCACGUAGAUUUGGUGUGAUGAUAUUUGAAUGAUUGAGGUUGAAGGAAUGAUUGUCAUCUUAAGUAAUGUGAGACUAUUUCAAAGUGGAGGUUGCUUAGAUGUUGCUUUCUUCGUCCCCAAUUCUCUUCCCAUGUGGGAUCCUCGUGGUCUGGUCACUUGUUAUCAAGCAAACCCCUAUAUGUUUUAAUUAACUUAUUCUAAUUCAUAUUCUACUAUUUUUAUUUUGUCAACAUUUCCAUAUUCUAUUGUUAUAGGAACCAAUGCGAAAAAAACAAUUUCUUUUUUAAAAACAAAAAUGCCUUGAGAAUCUAAGAUAAUAAACAAUUUUCCUACCUAUGUUGUUGGCGAAAUAAUUAUUCUUCAAUGGAUAAGGAUAUGGUUUUGGAGCUUAGCUUCGGCAAUGAGCAAAAAAUAAAUUUCUAACUAAUUCAGGUUGGUCUGAUGGUUGAAAGAUUUAUCUACAAGUAGAGGACCAUGUUUAAAUCUAUCAAAUACGAUUUCAAUUGUGAUCAUUAGCUACUAUAAACGUUUGAAAUGAUAAGUAUAUAAGAUCUUUCACAUACAACAAAGAUUAGUUUAGUUUAGAUUUCGAUUUGAGAAUUUUCAGUUAUCAAAACCAAGAAAAAACGAUAUAAGCUUAAAAAUAAAAGGACGAAGAAGAGAACAAAUAUAAGAGAGCAGAAAGAAUUGUUACUAUUGUAUAGAGUAAAAUAAGAAAAGAAUAAACAAUUUCAUAUUUCCUUUAAGGGAAGAGAAAUACAUCAUACAUUACAUAGAUAAAUGGUGAAGCUAGUCAAACUUUGUUAUUUCUUACUCUUCCUAAAUUUCACCUUCUUUAUAUUAUAUUUUCUAAAUACUUCUAUGCUUACAAAGAUUAUUUUUUCGUAGUUUAGAUUUUAUCAUUAAUUCAUACAUUUCACUCGACCGGAGCUCUCAGAAUUCCGUCGUCGGUGCAUCGGAAAACAAGACACACACCUAAUCAAACCUUGCACAUUGCAACUCGUACAAUUCGUAAAUCCAGAUUUUUCCAAGAAGAUUUUGUGGCUACCAUUACACCGGUCACACACAACAAAACUCCAUCCUCUACACAAAUCACAUAUCUCAUCAAAUAUUUUAUCUGAUGGUGGUAAUGUGUCGAUCAGCUUCCUCAACUCGUCAUUCUCUUGUAACUGUUUAAUCUCUUUCAUCCCGCCAAUAUAUCUUCCACCGAUAAAAACCUUAGGCAACACAACUUUCUUGGUUCCAAAAAUUGUUUGUAACUCAUGGUGAAAUUUUAAAUCCAUUGAUAGAUCUCACUCGUCCAUUUUGAUACGAAAUGUAUGAAGGAUCGAUCGCACAGAUUUACAUUCUUCGAAUGUUUUACGUAUGAUUCGAAGGCUAGUGUAGUAGAGAACAACGCCUCGAUGAUCGGCGUUGGGGAUAUCCACGGUAGAGAAGAGUGUUGGUGUCGGAAUCGGGUGUAAGAAAUUGGCAUUUGAGAUACAUCCAUGAAUCUUGGGACUCCGAGGCUGGUGGAUGAUUUGACCCCGUAUAGAGUAUGGUUUUGGCGGGGAAUCAUCUUCAUGGAGAAGGUUUUGAAUGUCUUUGAAAGAUGAACAAGAGAAAUGUCUCGGCCAUUUCGGUGAGUCCGGAGAAAUUUGGUGACGACGUCUGCGGAAUUGAAGCCAAUUCGAAAACAUUAGAGAAGAUCAAUGACGAAAUCUAAAAUAAAUGAGAAUGUUAAAAUACUGAAAAAGUGAGCGAGUCAAAUAUAUUUAUUACGAAUGAAAAUACUAGAUAAGAAUGAUAUCUAAAUAAAAUUAGAAAACAAUUUCUUACCCAAAAUGGCCAAAAGAUUUCAUUUACAUUUUUACUUUUUGUUUUGGUCGUCGAAAUUUAUUAAUAAGCCUGAAAAGUUCAAAAGAGAUUUAAAAUAUAUUCUGAAAACUUUCUAGUCUAAUGAUGAAAACAUUUGAAAGCUUAAACAUCGCAUGUAGAACUUAGAUUAAAAAAUAAAAAUAAAAAACUAUGAAACAUUACACAUGUUCAAUUUCGUAUCCUACGAGCCGCUGAUCAAUUCUCAUUAGCCUAAGGCGAUUAACGUUACCAAGCAUCAUUAAACGUCUUCAAGCAUCAACAAACAUCUCCGAACACCACCAAGCACUCUCUAUACUAUACUGAGAAAGACAUGCGGGUUUGGCCGCCAUUUUUUCGAAAUUCAGUUUCAAGGACUAACAUAAAAAAAAAAAUUCCGAGAAUUUUUCAUGGACUUAUUUGUUUUAAAGCUGUGUAAUUUUGUUUUAUGCGAUGAAAAUUGAUGUUGCAGCUAAAAAGCUCUUUCAUUAAUUACUUAAAUUAGUAAAUAACCAUUUCUUCAAUUUAAUAUAAUCUUUUGUAAUUUGUGAUUUUAGAUGAAAAAAAGCUAACAGAACAACUAAAAUUAAAUAUUCCUUAAAAUUGGAACAAAUAAGAAAGAGUGCAUUAGAAAAACAAUUUGGUUUUAUGCAAUUUAAAUUAAAACAAACAACAAAAUUAAUUGGUAAAUAUGAUUGGCACAUUCACCAAAUUGAAGAUUCUGUUUUAAAGGAGAGAACAAAAAAUAAACCAUAUACUGUACACUCAAAAACCUAUAUAACAACAUAUUAACCAAUCAUAAUCAUUACCAAAAAGAACAACCCAAUUUUAGUUGUUAAUUAGUAACAAUAAUCAAGUUCUUCUAACAGUUCAUCGAAACAUGCUAACUCUAUAAAAGCAGAUAAAGUGGGCAACACUUCUCAUUAUCUCUUAGAACAAGUAUUGAUAAACAACAAGUUUUUCUUCCAUAUAUAUACUUUAAACAAAAGAAUAAGAUGGCUUACAUUGUUUUUGCGUUUAAGGCUUUGUGUUUGUCUCUCUUGUUCAUUGUUGUUGCAAGUCGUUCCACCGUCAGACCAAAAGUUUUCAACGUCCAACGCCAUGGUUCUAAACCGGACGGAAAAACUGAUAACGCCAAUGUAUGUACACCAGAGUUUUCCUAUUUUAAUAUUUAGCACCAAUUAUUUUUGAGAUGAAAAUCUUAACACAAGUACAUAUAUAACCAAUAUACAAAUACAAAGAUAAAUAUAUAUAUUUUUAACUUUUUUGAUUUAUUUUGUUUAACCUAUAUCAUUCUUAACGAUUUUUAGGCAUUCACAAGUGUAUGGAGCCGUGCAUGCAGAAGGAAAAGUGGAAGUAGUAAAAUAUAUGUACCAAAAGGAACAUUCUACCUCGGUGGUGUAGAGUUCGUGGGUCCAUGCAAAAAUCCUAUUGAAUUUAUUAUCGAUGGAACUUUAUUGGCUCCUGCAAAUCCUAGCGACAUUAAGCAAGACACAUGGAUCAACUUUAGGUACAUCAACGAUCUCUCUAUCUCCGGUUCUGGUACACUUGACGGUCAAGGGAAACAGUCUUGGCCACUCAAUGACUGCCACAAAAACCCCAAUUGUCCUAAACUAGCUAUGGUAACAUUUCGUAAACUUUUUCACUAUUGCCUCAUUUUAAAAGAAUAUGAUGAUUAUUUACAUUUAGAUCGAGUCUUUUAAUAAACUUGAAAUUGUUUUCAUAGACUAUGGGAUUUGCAUUCGUGAACAACUCGUAUAUCAAAGACAUAACAUCACUCAACAGCAAAAUGGGACACUUCAACUUCUUCUCCGUCCAUCACUUUAACAUUACUGGCGUCACUAUAACAGCUCCCUAUAAAAAGUUUACUCUAACAGUUUUUAUUAUGUUUGGGAAGUCUGUCAGUUGGACAUUGGCCCAAUUGGUUUACCUGGUAGCCAGAAAUGCAGGCGGCCUGACUAUCCCCUGGCACUUAGUCGGAAGGCAUUCCAAACUCGGGAUAGGCAGAGUGGUAGCCCGUAAGGGCCUAACCGUUAACACGGUGGACCAGUCUACUAUGUAGCACCUCGGUGCGUUCCUACCGGGGCCAACCGGAUAGCCGAUAGGGUUUAUCAAAAGAAAAAAAAAAAAAAAAAAAAAAAAAACUAUAACAGCUCCCGGCGAUAGUCCCAACACCGACGGUAUCAAGAUGGGUUCAUGUAGUAACAUUCACAUCUCCAACACAAACAUUGGUACUGGAGACGAUUGUAUCGCCAUUCUCUCUGGAACCACUAACCUCGAUAUCUCUAAUGUUAAGUGUGGUCCUGGACAUGGGAUCAGUGUCGGAAGCUUAGGAAAGAACAAAGACGAGAAAGACGUGAAAGACUUAACAGUAAGAGACGUUUUUUUUAACGGUACUAGCGAUGGUAUUCGGAUCAAGACUUGGGAAUCUUCAGCCUCAAAAAUCCUCGUUUCGAACUUCGUAUACGAGAAUAUUCAGAUGAUUGACGUUGGAAAACCAAUCAACAUCGAUCAAAAAUAUUGUCCUCACCCACCUUGUGAACAUGAGCAAAAGGUUAACUUUCUAUGCGAAAAAAAAAAAUAAAGUUUCAUUUUCUUUACUUUCAUCACAAGAACGAAAAAAAACAAAAGACAUCUUGUGUUUUUUUUUUUCAGGGAGAGUCUCACGUUCAAAUCCAAGACCUUAAGUUAAAGAACAUAUAUGGAACGUCGAAGAACAAAGUGGCAAUGAAUCUGCAAUGUAGCAAAAGUUUUCCGUGCAAGAAUGUGGAACUGAUUGACAUUAACAUAAAGCAUAAUGGACUCGAAGGUGGUUCUUCCACUGCGGUGUGCGAGAAUGUUGACGGUUCUGUACGCGGUAAAAUGGUUCCUCAACAUUGUCUAAAUUGACAAUCCAUCAAAACAAUAACGAUGUGUUGUCAGGGCCGGUUAUUGGCAUGUGCAAGUGGUGCAUUUGCACCGGGUCCAACAAAUUUAAGGUCCAAAUUCAUAGUUUUUCUAUUAUUUAAUUAUUUAAUUAUGCUGAAAUUUUAUAAAAUAUCCAUAUGUAAAAGUCCCAAAAUUUUAUUUUAAAAGGUAAUAUUGAGGCCCAAAAUUAAUAAACAAAAAUAACAUGUCCAAAUAGCUAUAAAAUACAAAAUAAUUUAUGAAAUAUAACUUUUUGUAAAUAUAUAUAUAUAUAUAUAAAUUUUUUAUUAAAGAUAAGAUUUUUUUUUGUAUGGCACCGAGUCUUACCGAUGAGUGAGCCGGGCCUGUGUGUUGUAUAUGAUAUUUUCAUUUAUGAAUAAUUGUCUAAUUAAUCGGUGUAUAUAUGGAUUUUUUUUUGUUAUAACCAAAUCAUAAAUAUGUAUAUAUAUGCAAAACAAAAUCCCCUUGAUAAAAGUUGGUUCAGUUUAAUGGUUGCGUCAUGCAUUGAUAGUGUACAAAAGAAAUUACUUUGCUAGUUUGUUUAUGUUUCUUUCUGUCUAUCAGAGUUCCGGUUUAGCGGGACGCCAAAACCCCUUCCGACCAACAAAAAACCGGUCCUGGUAUAUUUUGGUUGACCAAUGAAGCGAGCCAAGUAUGUAUUCAAGCUUCUUUAUUGUUUCCAUGGUGUCUUGAACCACAAGAUAUCCGCCAGGUCUCACUAUCCUAUCUAUCUCAGCUACCACUUGUACAAUCUCACACCUGAAAUUGACCCAAAAAUAACAACAAAAGGUUAACCACACUAACCACGAUAUCAAACCGAGUUUCUUAGGACCGAUUCUGGUUAAGCUAACUGUGACCGAAAGCAGAAAGAACUGAACCAAAACAGUGAAUGCCUGCUGGCUACUGCUAAAGAAUUGAAACUCUAUAGAGAUAUAAAUUCAGGUCUAUUGUUUACCUUUGUGUGAGAUCAGUAUCACCCAGGAGGAAACUGGAAUGUAGCAGAUCGUAUGUUCUAGGGUAAGUGUUGAGGGACUCACACCAAUCAUGGUAAAUUCCGAUCAAGCCUCGAUCAUAAACGACGGAGAGAGUGUCAGGUUUAUUCACAGGGACAACAUUCAUCACCCAGAGAGGUCGAUUUAUAAGUGCAGCAGCAAAACUAUACCAAAAAGGAAAGAAGAAAAACUAGUGUCAAGUUUCAGUUUGGGAUAAACCGGAUUCUUGUUAAAGUUUCAGAGAAUGUAAAAUUACCCGCCAAAACCAGCAUUCAUGUCCAUCACAUUCCGCACAGUCGACCAGUUUACAGCUAGAUGUUCGAGAUAAACAUCAGAUACAAUUGCUGACCAUUUCUCUGUAUCUUUCUUCAAUGUUUCUGCUUCGACUGAAAUGCUUUGCGGUUUAACACUCACAAGCCGUUUAGGCCAUAGUUCAGGCCAACUCUGGACAUUACCGCUAGGUAAUUUGGAAAUGCAUUUGGCGAGAGGAACAUACCUAAAAUCAAUCAAAAGGAUAUGUUACAAAAAAAAGUGGACAUACGUGAAUGUGAAGCAUCAUUUUGUGUAAGAGUUUUAUACCACGAAGCAUUUGCUUCCUUUUUAUCGCAUAGAGGCGGAUCUUGUGUGCUGCGCUUAUUAUAACAGGAUUCUGAAAUUGGCUUUUGAUAGAUCACAAGUCCAAUUCCCGAGGAGUCAACCGUCUUGGUCACGACCUUCCAGCAAAUGGAUUUAGUCAGAGAAACCAUUGCUGCAAACACAAAAUAGUAACAAUAAACCAUAAAGAUCAAGACCAGUGUUGAAUAACCAAACCAAGAAUAUGAUUGUUGCUAACCAUUCCAAAUUCUGCUAUCUCUGUCAUUAUCUCGAUAGACUGGUGUUGCAGACCAAAUGAAGAAACCUCCUGGCCUGAGUACCCUAUUGAGCUCCAACAACGGUUUCCCACCUAACAAAAUAAACCAAAAAGAUCAUGAAAACCUCGAAGCUUAAUGGUUAAGAGGGACAAAACAAAAAGGAACAAAUAAAUACCAUCAGCAUCCCAAUGGACUCUGCACCGUGCACAAUGGAUAAGAUCAAAAGCAUUGCUGGGAAACGUAAGCUGUUGUGUUCCAAUAACAGAAAGUGUUGCAGGUAUUCCUCGUUCUAACGCAAAUUGAAUCUGAGCUUCAUGUUCAUCUUUAGGGGCAAAUGACAUUGUAAUGACAUCUUUAUCUAAUAAAGAUCCGCCAAAGCUAGCAACGCCGCAACCAACAUCUAAUACAACCCUUAUGUUUUUCCCCCAUUUGAUACUCGGUAAAGCCUAUGAAUAUGAAAUGAAUUCAACACAAAGAUCGAUCCUUUCGAUUCGAAAAAAAACAGGGGAAACAGCAAAAAGAAAGUGCUGACCUUUUCGAUGAACUCAACGUAAUGAGUAACCCCGAAUUUGAAUUGAGUACCUCCUCCAGGAAAAACUAGAAAUUCACCCUCUUUUUUAACCCAAUUUUGUUCUUUCUUGUAUUCUACAAGCUUGGGGUGAGGAACAUUGUCAUACCAAAUCUGCACAUUAUAGAGUAAACAAAUAAAGAAAUGUUCCAAUAGCCUAAUUCAUGAAACUAUAACACUCCAAAAAUGUUAACUUUGAAUCUAUCCGACUCUAAAAAAACGGAUCUUUCACUUUUCCUUUCACAGAAACUUCUACAUACUCAAAUGGGUCACUAAACUAAAUCAUAUAUCUUCAGAUCAAGAGCAGCAACCAAAGCUUACCAAAAACAAAAACAGGAACUGUCUCUCACCAUAUCCCGGCUCUUAGGCCACGGAACCGGCGGCUUAUAAUUAUCCGGCAAGGUAACGAGACAUUGAGGACUUGGUUCAGGGCAAUGACGUUCUCGAUGUUCCAUAUGUCUCCUCGAUUUGAGCUGCUUAAUGGCAGCGUAAUUAUCAAGACAAGGUAUGUAAUCAACAGAUUCUGCGCCUUUACAUAGAUCCCAUUUCAGCUCAUCCACCUCUUGGGAACUGUUAAGCUUCAUCUUCUGUGGAGUUUGAUCUGAAGAAACGUCGACGUUUUGGUGAGGAUUUGGGGAUUUGGGGUUUGGACCGUUUGGUGUGUAGUAAUCGGUGGGGGAGAGAGAAGGGAAAGGGAAUGUUGCGUUAUCGGAGGUGAAGAGGAAGAAGGUGAUGGCGAUGAGGAGAGUGGAGAGGAGUAAAACGACGACGUGUUGUACUGAUAUCGCCAUUGAAGAAGAAAGAUCAUUAGAGAUCACUGUACGAGACGCGUUUUAAGGAAGAAGAAGAAGCAAGGUGUGAGCUGAUCAGAGAGCUCCAAAAGUCGCAACUUUCACAUUUCGAUUUUUGCAGAGCUUAAGUAAAAAUAAAAUUUUAUGCGCCGACAGAGUAAAAAAGAAUGUGUCCGAAAUAUUUGAUUAGUAUAAGACAAAAAUUUAUUUUUGUAAUAAAUCAUAAUUAUGUAUCAAUUAUAAGUUAAUCAAUCAGAGGUUUUUAACAAUUUUGUUUUUGUGAUUUUUUCCGGAGACAUCAGAUCCAAUUAAAUCUACACACCGCUCAUAGCCAGAUCCAAUCAACCUACAUUCCUGAGGUUUAUAAUUUGGUCAAUACAUAGGAUAGUACUUAAUUAUGAUCAUAUUGAGCUGUGUGGUGGAGCAACAAAUUCUCGAGCAGUAACAAAUGCAAAAAAUCAAUCUAUUAUAAAACCAUGAAUGUAUGAUUGAUAUGUAACCCCCUAUGGGUAAAAUAAAAUGCCUCAAGAGUCAUCAAAAAGCACAUAAAUCCUCUCGGAGGUUUUUCUACUGCCUUGUCAAAGCUUAAAACAAAAUACUCAACUGUUGAGACUGGGUAGAUUUAAUAGAAAGAAAAUUAGUCGCAAAACAAUCAAUCCGGCAAUCUUACUCAAUGAUUCCGGCACCACCAUCGAGAUCCACUUCUCCCAUCCCUGUGUCCUCUUCUUCGUCUCCGCUCUCUUCAUCGCCGCUAAUUUCUUCAUUGUCAAGACGUAGCUUAGCCAUGUGUUCUGUCAGCAUCUUAUCAUCACGUUCACUCACCUAUAAUUUAACACAGAUUAUUAACAUUAAUAGUCGGUUGUGAACCAAAAUAAACAAAACACGAAAGGAAAGCUGGAUCUUGUGACAUGCAACUUGUGACGGUUCAUCAGUAAAAAAAAAGAAGAUAAGAUACUCACAGCUCUAGCUCCCUCCUUAACGACAAGCUUGCCUUUGUGUGUCUCAAUUGUCUCAGUGCAUGCUGCUAUGGCUUUGUUUAGAAUUUCAAUCCCUUGUUCCUGUUUAAUAUAAGACAGUAACUGAGAAGAUUAGGAAAAAUGGCACAAAACAUAGCAUUUACACAUUUAUGGUUUAAGUGAAGACAAAUCCGCAAAGCUACAUAAUUGGCUAAUAAAGUUGCAAUGACAACAUUAGUAUCUGUGUGUGUUUUCUUAAGCCUCUGCUUUCCUUGCAACUAAAUGAUUUCAACUAUUGCACUCAAAAUUCUGGCAAGUUGCUUAAGUGGAUAUACAAUCUAAAAAGAGAUCAUAAACCUCUUAACGAUAAGUAGGGGAGGGUUUCUGUACUUCGCGAAACCAAGUAAAUCAUAAUACAAGAUAGAAGAUUGGCUAACCUUGUCCAGCGUCUGAGUAGUAAGGACAUACAGAGGUGGAGCAACCAACUUAAUCUUAACAGGACAAUCUUCAUUUCCAGCGGCUUCAGCAUUUCUCAUGGCCUCCUGAAAUUGCAAAAAAAGGUGAGAAAAUCAAAUGAAACCAUAAUGUAUUAUUUUCACAAGUUAAAGAUAAUCCAAUAAGCGAUAUGACCUUAAUGUGAACAACUCCGUCAAACUGGAAACACUUCAAUUCGAUAUCAGCCCGGAUUUUCAUUGGUUGUGGUGUCAUUCUCCUCCUAAUGUUCUUCACAAGUGCAUCUUUCACUUCUUCCGUAACAGCAGGUACAACCUUAGUCACCUACAAACAUAAAACUUCUAAGAUUAUCCCCAAAUGAAGUUUCUAGUAACGGCUAAACCAAAACCAGAGAACAAAGUAUAUACCUCUUGUCCAUCAGGCCCAACUUCUUUGAUCUCACGGGUGAGGGGACCCAACACCGAAUCAGGAUCGGUCACUAAGAUCUUGAAGGCCUGAACAAAAGAGAAAGAUAUUUGAGAACUAAAAAACCAUAAAAAUACAACGAAUCUCAAAUUCUUAAAUUCUUACCUCAAAAGCAUGACCAUGUCUUCGAUACAAAGGCCAACCAAUGUUCACAUACAACUCCUGCAACAUGAAAGCUUGAAUGAAUUUCUAAUCAACGAUUCUAAACUAUUAGUAGCACCUAAAUUCAGAGAUUUGAUAACAUCUCAAACCAGCAAAUCCCAAAUUCAGAUGGACAACACUCGUCAAAGUCCAAUUCCAGCAAAUAAUCCGUAAAUUCAACUACUAAAAUAUAGAGUAACUUGGAAGAUUUUACCUCCAAAUCAAUAGAUAGAGUCUCAGCAACAUGGCGCAUGAUAGAAUGCACAAGCUUGCUCUUGUUAUACCUCUCUUCACAAGUCUGAAUAUCCUCCUCACUGACUCUACGUUUGCUCAGAUCAAUGUAACCUUUCUCUUUGUCCACACGGAGAACCAUGACAGGCUCAAUUCUUCCGACCUUAAUCAAACUGCUGACACUUCGGAUCCGACGACGAGAGAGCUCGGAGAAGAGGAUCAUGCCUUCGAUGUUGUUGUACUCGAGGAGAGAAACGUAGGCUCCCAUAUCGGCGAUGUUCUUCACCUGGAUCAUAACCGCCAUAUCCACCUCUGGGUAUUUCGCCUCGUACAUCCGACACUCGAGAUUCGGUGUUUGGCUCGCCAUGAUUGGAAGAUUUCGAUACUGCUUAAGGUCACGCGAAUUCACUCUACGUUGAAUCGGAAAAGGCUAUGAGUGCGGAGAAACUUAGGGUUUUAGACUUUUAGGCGACGGAGCAAAUCAACAGAAUUUUUUGGCUAGGGAUAAGAGAUGAGCAAGGGAAAAAAAAAACUGAAAAUUUGGCGACUUGCGUCAAAGAUGCCAGUUACAAACGACGCCGUGUCGGGUAAACAAUUAGGUUUUAAUUGGGCCACAAAAUAGAGUUUCAAGGGUUUUGGGGGGGUUUAAAGCCCAUUGGAUCGAUAUUGUUUUAUCGUUCAUCAAUUUCUUUCACUGGUUCAUAAAUUGCGUUUGAACCAGCACUAAAAACCACUCAUACGCUUUGAGCUUGAAUCAACAUUUGACAAUCGAAAUUUUUUUCAGAUCGAGCCGAUCGGGAAAUCAGAUUGAACCUGACUGUAACUAUAGAAUCGAUCACCAGGUGGGUUGAUGAACCUUAGACCAGAAUUUAAAGUCAUGUCUUCGUCUCUUACAAAAAAAAAAAAAAAGAAGUCUACCUCACAAAAUCGUAAAAGCUGAAGAACUUAAACAUAGUCAUAAACUAGCUCCAAACAUAUCACACUAAGAGAGCUUCAUAUAGAAACACACUUGACACAAGAGUCCCUCGUAGCUGCUUACCCUUCCAGAAGCAUCUGAUUGAAAUGCCAUGUUCCUGAAAUUACCCACAAACAUUAAACACACAUAAAUUAAAACAGAAGAGUGGAGGAUGAAUAAGUGGAUUUUGUUGUUCUUUUGUAUCUUUAUAGAUUAAAUCAUAAUGUGAGAUAUUAUUAUGUACCGUGUCCUUUGCCAACUCGUCGCAGCUGAGCCACAUAUUCUGAGAUCAUCUUGAUUGCUUCCACCUGAGAAAUAUUUUAUUUUAUCAUAAAAUUUCAAUUAGAUUCUCUUUGACAGCUUAGAUACAAAAGCAGUCCUUUGCCAGAUCAAAUGAUUAUACCUGCUCGUUCAGAAACUCGCUCUCAAUAAAGUCUGCCAAGUGGACAUCAUUGUUCUUCGAAGCAACCUGUUGAACAAAGCAUUACAAAACUGAGAACAGUUCUUGCAGAGUGAAGAUUAGAUUUACUUCUCAAAUAGGGAUUUUGAUAAAUAUAGUAUAAACUCAAGAAGAGAUGGUCUUUACACUGUGAAGGUUUAAGAGCUUCUCAUUAACUAGUUUCUCCAAUGACAGAGCCAGCUCCAUGCCUGCAUGAACAAAUCACAGAAUUGUAUGUUAUAACUCCUAUAUCCAUUGAGACUUCAAUCUCCAUAUGAGAGAAACAUUUUCAUGAUACUUAAGAGCUCCUUGCCAAUGAAAACUUGCAAUCUCUUAAAAAGCUUAACAUAACAUUGGUGUCAACUUCUAACUUCUCCAAAAUUUAUUACUUACAAUGUGGCAAACAUAUGAAACUAAAGAUAACUUUCACUUGGGAUUUUUCUUGUAGAGAAACCUAUAAAGCAUCAAUAGAUACAAAGUUGAUGCAGCGCAUCUUCACUACUUGUUGGGCCUCGUUAACGUAUCUCGUGCCCAUCAAGAUAUUCAGUUGUAACAAGAUCAUUUCCUUAGUUUUUGAGACAUUAUCACUUCGUUUACGUUUUGUUAUCAUAGGAUAUUCUUAAUAUCUUUUAGGAUUAGGAUUAGUUUUAUUUGCUUUUAUCUCACGACUCUAUAUAAAGAGAUCGUCUUCUCUGUAAUCAGAUCAUCUUUGGCUUUAAGAAAUCAUUUGAAACCCAAAAGAGUUUAGCCUUGUGCGAACCCUGAGAGGAGGACUCUCGCCUUUUAUUUCUCGAUCUCAACUCAUCGUUGAGCUCAUAAGAUCUCUGUUCCGUUUUAAACCAAACCGUGCUCUGUUUUUGGCUUCACAAAACAGAGUCUUCUUCCUCAUAAUCUCUGUUUUAAGCUUCCCUUCUACUCUCUCUUUUAAAUUACUUCCGCUCCCUCUAUCAGUUGGUAUCAGAGACAAAACGUUUCUGAAAAGUUGAAAUCUCGACCAUGCCACCAAAGAAAGACGACGAGAUCGCCGCCGCAAAUUGGGCUGAACUGCGAGCCGCCCUAUCCACCCUCCUUGCGUUGCAGGAGACGAUGCAGUCCAACAUUCAAACCUCCAUUCAAGCCUCGAUACGUGAACUUGGAGAAACUCUGACUCAACACUUACAACCACGACAACAGGCCGGAGACCAAAGAAACGAGAUCGCAGAAGUGAACCCGUUUGCUCCUGAUGUCAAUCGCGAGUUGAUCGUAAGGAGACCAGAUCAGCGUGAUUCACGAUGGGAAGCUGGUUUCAAGGUUGAUAUUCCCGAAUUCAGCGGAGGACUGCGAGGUGAUACCUUGUUAGAUUGGUUGGUCGCCGUAGAAGAGGUCCUGGAUUUUAAACAAGUACCAAACAAUCGUCGUGUACCUCUCGUAGCCACAAAAUUUCGCGGGCACGCAGCAUCUUGGUGGCAGCAACUAAAAGCCUCUCGCAAUCGCGACAAUAAAGCACCAAUCGACUCUUGGGAAAAAUUGAAGAAGAAGUUGAGGCAAACUUUCUUACCUCACAAUUACGACCGCACCAUGUACACGCGGCUUCAAAAUUUGAAACAAGGGAUGCGUUCUGUAGAUGAAUAUGCUGAGGAGUUUUAUGUCCUACUCACUAGGAAUGAAAUCAAUGACAAUGAGGUGCAGCUCGUGUCUCGUUUCAUCGGUGGGUUGCGAAGUCAACUCCAGAAUUCACUAGCUCAAUUCGAUCCAACCUCCAUAGCCGAAGCUCAUCGUCGAGCAGCCUCUUUUGAACAACAACAACGCUCCGGAAAUUGGUCCUCUACCUCCAAUCGUGGACGGGUUCAAGAGAUGAAUUCUCCCAAAUCGGAGACUGCAACAAAAGAGAAUACGGAUACCGCUACGCCAAAACAAACAGAGGAUCCAGCCUUGCGCCGUUCCAGUCGCAAUGCCCUGCGGUGUUUUAAUUGUGGUGAAUCAGGACACAGGCAGACCGCAUGCCCACAACAGACAAGACGCGGCCUCCUUGUUGAUGAACAACCCAACAAUGAUGAGCCACUGUAUGACUCUGAAGAAGAAGAUCGGAGUAACAAUGACACUGUGUUACACCAUACACAUGGUGAUAAUGGACCAUUGUUGUUAGUAGGACGUACUUGUCUCAUUCCAGAAGCAAAAACAGAGUCUUGGUUACGGACUAACAUUUUUCGCUCCACUUGCACCAUCAAAGGACGACUCUGUACCGCUAUUUGCAGCUUCAUCAUAGACUCCGGCAGCUCGCGCAACGUCAUAGCGGAAGAAGCAGUUCGAAAAUUAGGCCUCCCGGUUGAAGCACAUCCUGCUCCUUACAAUCUUGGUUGGCUUAGUGACAAAGUGAAUAUGCGUGUCACUCAUCGCUCUAUGGUGCCUUUCUCCAUAGGACCGUACUACAAGGACCGCAUGUAUUGCGAUAUCGCUCCUAUUGAUGUUUGCCACUUAUUGUUAGGAAGACCUUGGGAAUACGACCGCAAGAUCACUCACGACGGGUUGAAAAACACAUAUCGGUUCGUGUGGGAAACUCACCAAAUCUUACUCAUGCCAUCACGAGAACCAGUAGCAGCUGAACCUCCUCCCACGCGAUCAGUCCAAAGCCGUUUGUCUUUCCCUCCAAAAAUUACCGACGCAACACAAGCUCAUACACCACGAUCAGUCCAUAGCCGUUUAACUUUUCCAGAAACGGCUCCCGAGUCGACACUCCUCUGUUCUUACUCCAUGUUUGAUCAAGAAUUUCGUAAAGAGGGCAUGGCUUAUGCACUCUUACUUGCGGGUACAAAGGAGCAACGACCAACGGUGUUGUCACCACAAUUUGAGCAGAUCCUUCGGGAAUUUACGGAUGUGUUUCCAAGUGAGUUACCACCAGGGCUUCCUCCACUUCGCGACAUUCAACACCAGAUCGAUCUCAUCCCGGGGGCCACACUCCCGAACCGUCCUCAUUAUCGAAUGAGUCCACUUGAACAUGAAGAGCUACGACGCCAGGUAGAAGAGUUACUCCAUAAAGGCUAUAUUAGGGAAAGUCUAAGUCCAUGUGCUGUUCCCGCGCUCUUAAUUCCAAAGAAGGAUGGUUCUUGGCGAAUGUGUGUGGAUAGCCGAGCCAUCAAUAAAAUCACAACUCGCUACCGUUUUCCGAUUCCGCGCCUUGAUGACCUACUGGACCAAAUUGGACAAGCGACUAUUUUCACCAAGAUUGAUCUCAAGAGCGGCUACCAUCAAAUUCGUAUUAACCCGGGUGACGAAUGGAAGACAGCAUUUAAAACCCGAGAAGGACUUUUUGAAUGGCUAGUAAUGCCUUUUGGGUUAUCUAAUGCUCCAAGUACAUUCAUGAGGGUCAUGAAUCAAGCCUUGCGGCCUUUCAUUGGCAAGUUCGUAGUGGUCUAUUUCGAUGACAUUCUCAUUUUUAGCUCUUCGGCGGACGCACAUGCUGAUCAUUUGCGUGAGGUUCUCCAAGUCUUGCGCAAAGAGAAACUGUUCGCGGGAAAACAAAAAUGUGAGUUCGGUGCUUCCGAAGUUUUAUUCCUCGGUUAUGUCAUCUCAGACAAGGGUCUAUCGGUUGAUAAAUCAAAGAUCGAAGCAGUCCGGUCUUGGCCCACGCCAAGUACAGUGACUGAAGUCCGGAGUUUCCAUGGUCUCGCAUCUUUUUAUCGUCGUUUCAUAAGUCACUUUAGCUCUAUAAUGGCCCCCAUAACAAGUUGUAUGAAGACGGGUGCCUUCACUUGGACCAAAGAAGCAAACUCGUCAUUUGAACUCAUCAAGGAGAAGCUGACAACAGCUCCGAUUUUAAUACUACCAGAUUUUGCAACCACCUUUGAACUCCAUUGCGAUGCUUCUAAACUCGGGAUUGGAGCUGUCCUAAGUCAACACGAACGUCCGGUAGCAUACUAUAGUGAAAAGCUUGCUGGAGCUAGAAGUCGCUAUAGUACCUAUGACAUCGAAUUCUACGCCAUUGUUCAGGCCAUUAAACAUUGGAGGCACUACCUUGUACAUCGUGAUUUUAUUCUGUUUACCGAUCAUGAUGCACUACGCCAUCUAGAUAGUCAAGCCAAUGUCUCUGCCCGACAUGCAACUUGGAUAGCGUUCUUGCAACAAUUCACUUUCUCAAUCCGUCAUCAUUCCGGCAAGUUAAACCGUGUAGCCGAUGCCUUGAGUAGACGUCACGGACUGUUAACAACAAUGCAUACUACGGUGCCUGGUUUUUCUACUUUCGCUGAGCUAUACGAAUCUGAUCCUUUCUUUGCUCGUAUCCUCUCCGAUGUCGAGCAAAACCUCACUUCCGAAUACACGUUGCAAGACGGCUUUCUCUUCAAAGGGCUGCGUAUUUGUGUUCCUACGUGUAGUCUAAGGUUACAAAUAAUUCGUGAGCUUCAUUGUGAGGGUCACGUCGGCCGAGACCGCACCUUGCAUUUGGUCACCACGUCGUACUUUUGGCCAUCCCUACGCAAAGAUGUAGAGCGCUUUGUGGAAAGGUGUCGGGUUUGCCAACAGGGCAAGGGGAAAGCUUCCAAUGCGGGACUGUAUUUACCACUACCAAUUCCUACACAACCAUGGACGGAUGUUAGCAUGGAUUUUGUUUUGGGCCUCCCACGUACUCAGCGUGGUCACGAUUCCAUUUUUGUGGUGGUGGAUCGUUUUUCAAAAAUGGCUCACUUCAUUCCCUGCAAAAAGACUACGGAUGCGGUGACGGUGGCUGUGCUUUUUUUCCGGGAGAUUUAUCGACUUCAUGGUCUUCCGUCUUCUAUAGUUUCAGACCGAGAUACACGUUUCUUAAGUCACUUUUGGAGAUCUUUAUGGAAGCUUCUCGGCACAAGUCUUGACAUGAGCACGGCGUAUCACCCACAAACGGAUGGCCAAACAGAGGUCACCAACCGCUCAUUGGGCAACUUGCUACGCUGUUUAGUGGGAGACAACAUUAAAAGCUGGGAUGGCAAGUUGUGUCAAGCGGAGUUUGCUCACAACCACGCCCUUAACCGAAGUCUCGGUUUUUCUCCUUUCCGUGUGGUUUACGGCUUGGUUCCACGCGGGCCACUGGAUUUGUCUACAUUACCGGAUAAGGCUCGUUUUCACGGUCAUGCUAUUGAUUUUGUUAGUGACUUGCAACUGGUUCAUCAACAAGCUCAUGCGAAUUUGGAGGUUUCCACGGCCAAAUACAAGAGUGCCGCAGACACUAAGCGACGUGAAGUUUUAUUUGAGCCAGGAGACAUGGUUUGGGUCAUCCUCACUAAAGACCGUCUUCCACUCCGAGAGUAUAACAAGCUGAAGUCCAAGAAGAUUGGUCCCGUAGAGGUGCUUGAACGCAUUAAUUCCAAUGCGUACCGCGUUCGUCUACCAUCUCACAUGAACACGUCCAACGUCUUCAAUGUGAAGCAUCUCAUUCCUUUCCACGGGGACAAUGACGCGCCGGAUUCGUGGCCGAAUCCUCUCCCACCUGGGGAGACCUGAUGCAGCGCAUCUUCACUACUUGUUGGGCCUCGUUAACGUAUCUCGUGCCCAUCAAGAUAUUCAGUUGUAACAAGAUCAUUUCCUUAGUUUUUGAGACAUUAUCACUUCGUUUACGUUUUGUUAUCAUAGGAUAUUCUUAAUAUCUUUUAGGAUUAGGAUUAGUUUUAUUUGCUUUUAUCUCACGACUCUAUAUAAAGAGAUCGUCUUCUCUGUAAUCAGAUCAUCUUUGGCUUUAAGAAAUCAUUUGAAACCCAAAAGAGUUUAGCCUUGUGCGAACCCUGAGAGGAGGACUCUCGCCUUUUAUUUCUCGAUCUCAACUCAUCGUUGAGCUCAUAAGAUCUCUGUUCCGUUUUAAACCAAACCGUGCUCUGUUUUUGGCUUCACAAAACAGAGUCUUCUUCCUCAUAAUCUCUGUUUUAAGCUUCCCUUCUACUCUCUCUUUUAAAUUACUUCCGCUCCCUCUAUCAAAAGUGUUGGCAACUUUUGAGCUUACCAUAUAGAGCAUCUCCUUUGUCAACAUGUUCAAACUCUGAAAGAGGCAUUACAAUGGACUGUAACCUAACUCUCCCACCACGUUUAUUCUGCAAUUCAUGUAAAAAAGACUAAAACAUGUUAGAGAACCUAAUAAGCUCCAAUUAGGGAAACAAAUGAAAAUAGUUUUCAUAGGACCUGAUACUCCAUUAACUUCUCAGCGUGCUCUCUUUCUUCCACGCUUGAUUCCUUAAAGAACCUGAUUCCAUGAAACCAACAAUUAACUAUGGAUAAACAAAUAAAUCCGAAACUAUCAACAAUCAAACACUCUUGAAUAAGCAGAGACUCACUUGGCAAGACCUUUAAGCGCAACGUUAUCCCGAUCGAAGUACGCAUACAUAGCGUGAUACACAUACGAAACAUUGUAUUCCACACUGCAACCAAAAUCCAUUGAAGAAUUUCAGAAUCCACAAGAUAAUAAACUAUAAGCAUGAAUCUACAUGAGGUUCCAAGUACCAAAUCCUAUAGCUAAUCAACCAGAUUACAAUACCGAAUCUAAGAGAGAGUGAGGUGAGAAAGAAUAGCCUACUUGAUCUGCUCGUUAAUGGCGGCUUCGCACUCGUCUGAGUACUUUUGUCGAGCGAGUGAGAGAUGAGAGCUGGUUGGGACGAGAUCGAGCUCCUUUUUCACUUCCUUAAACGGCUCAAAGACGACGCCGCUUAGCGCG